GUUCUUGUUUCUGCAGCACAUAUACUAAAAUUGGAACAAUACAGAGAUUAGCAUGGUACCUGUGCAAGGAUGACACACAAAUUUAUGAAGUCUUCCAUAUUUUU